rnacentral:lncRNA from 1 species
GGGCAGAAUAAAAAAUUACUAAAAAAAAAUCUUCUCAAAAUUACGGAAAUCGAGCGGCGGCGGCGGCUCCCCCCGCCCGCCGGCCCGCCCGCCCCCUCCCCGGCUCCCCGGCCCCGGGCGCAGCGCGCAUGUGUCCUGCUAUAAUUAUGAUUAUCAAUAAUGCAUUGCGAUUAAUCAUAGAGGGGCUCUUUGAAAGGCGAUUGGCACCGGGCCAGCGCUAUUCAAACCCGCUCGCCUUAAUCAAUUAGUUUGUGAUUUGCUGCAGACCCCUGUCUCUCCGCGCGCUGGCCCAAUAAGCCGGCCGCGGGGCUGGCUCUGCGAGCCGCGCCGCCCGACACUGGGUUAACCCUCUUCGCGACCGCCCGGGACUCCGCGGCCGGGCCGCCGGGGGCCUGCCUUCUCGCCUCUGAGCACCCGGCGCCCCGGCCUGAGCCCCCCUCCCUCCCUCGGCCCCCCCAUCCCGGGCUGGGCCGACCCAAAUUAGCAUGCCCUCCCCGGAAUUAAGCCUCCCCGGGUGGGGGGUGGGGCCGGGCGGCGGGGGCUGGGGACCCGGGCUGCGGGCGCGCGGCGAACUUCCCAACUCCGGCGCUAGGAGCGCCGGCCCGCGGGGGGAGGGAGUCCCGUGGCGGGAUUUGGGGGGAGGAAGUCCCGUUUCGUGAGUGUUUCUUCGUUUCUUUAAGAGCUACCAGAAAGCAGCCCACCCCCACCCCCAUAAAAAAAAAAAUAAGCGAGUGGGGAAGAGCCAGCCCCACGCCGGUCCGCCUCCCGCCCGCGGCCCGGCCUCCCUCCCGCUCGCUGCUUGGCUCGGCGCUCCUUCGCCCCGAGUUCUCCAUCCCCUGGAUCCCGGGCUCGCGGGGGCGCGGAGAAGAGGACCAAGGAAAGAUGCGUGGAGAGGUUUGGAAGCUCUAGGAGAAGAAAGAUGUUGGGAACAAAUAACAAACAGCCAGAGAUACAAGGCAACUUGGAUGAUGAAUCCCAUUUGGAUGGAGACACCGAAGACAUAAAGGCCAACCAAUAAGGAACGGAUACCCAAGCAGGAAGUAAAUGUGCCCACUCAUUUAUUUGGAUCUUGUUUGCACUUCAUUGGAUAACACUAAGGAUUUGUUUGUUUGAAUUGCUCUUCAUUUGCAUUGGAAUCAUCAGUGCCUGUCAGUAAAUGGUAAUGUGUUUGAAUAUGGUUACUAUGUUUUACAGAUCUUACAUUCAUUGAGGAAGUCAGGUGUUCAACCACAGAAAGUUUGAAUAUAAUAGCAUUUGUGCUAUUGUAAACUUGCAAAAAUGCACUGACCUUUUUGGAUAGAACCACGGAUAGUAUUCUUACCAGAGAAUGAGCUCUACAUGAAGCCUUACUAUACUUUGGCUGUGAUGCAG